rnacentral:rRNA from 1 species
GCAGCGACACCGCGUGCGGGAUAACGGCCUUCGGGUUGUAAACCGCUUUCAGGAGGGAAGAAAAUGACGGUACCUCCANAAGAAGCUCCGGCCAACUACGUGCCAGCAGCCCCGGUAAUAUGUAGGGAGCAAACGUUGUCCGGAUUUAUUGGGCGUAAAGGGCUUGUAGGCGGUUCAACAAGUCGGUCGUGAAAGCCCGGGGCUCAACCCCGGGAGGCCGGUCGAAACUGUUGUGACUAGAGUUCGGUAGAGGUGAGUGGAAUUCCCGGCGUAGCGGUGGAAUGCGCAGAUAUCGGGAGGAACACCAUUAGCGAAGGAGGCUCACUGGGGGGAUACGGACGCUGAGGAGCGAAAGCGUGGGGAGCAAACAGGAUUAGAUA